GACGAACGCUGGCGGCGUGCUUAACACAUGCAAGUCGAACGGAAAGGCCCUGCUUUUGUGGGGUGCUCGAGUGGCGAACGGGUGAGUAACACGUGAGUAACCUGCCCUUGACUUUGGGAUAACUUCAGUAAACUGGGGCUAAUACCGGAUAUGAGCUCCUGCUGCAUGGUGGGGGUUGGAAAGUUUCGGCGGUUGGGGAUGGACUCGCGGCUUAUCAGCUUGUUGGUGGGGUAGUGGCUUACCAAGGCUUUGACGGGUAGCCGGCCUGAGAGGGUGACCGGCCACAUUGGGACUGAGAUACGGCCCAGACUCCUACGGGAGGAAGCAGUGGGGAAUAUUGCACAAUGGGCGGAAGCCUGAUGCAGCAACGCCGCGUGCGGGAUGACGGCCUUCGGGUUGUAAACCGCUUUCGCCUGUGACGAAGCGUGAGUGACGGUAAUGGGUAAAGAAGCACCGGCUAACUACGUG
rnacentral:rRNA from 1 species